GGCAGCAGUGGGGAAUUUUGGACAAUGGACGCAAGUCUGAUCCAGCCAUGCCGCGUGCGGGAAGAAGGCCUUCGGGUUGUAAACCGCUUUUGUCAGGGAAGAAAUCUUCUGGGCUAAUACCCUGGGAGGAUGACGGUACCUGAAGAAUAAGCACCGGCUAACUACGUGCCAGCAGCCGCGGUAAUACGUAGGGUGCAAGCGUUAAUCGGAAUUACUGGGCGUAAAGCGUGCGCAGGCGGUUGUGCAAGACAGAGUGUGAAAUCCCCGAGCUCAACUUGGGAACUGCACUUGUGACUGCACGGCUAGAGUACGGUAGAGGGGAGUGGAAUUCCGCGUGUAGCAGUGAAAUGCGUAGAUAUGCGGAGGAACACCGAUGGCGAAGGCAGCUCCCUGGACCUGUACUGACGCUCAUGCACGAAAGCGUGGGGAGCAAACAGGAUUAGAUACCCUGGUAGUCCACGCCCUAAACGAUGUCAACUGGUUGUUGGGAGGGUUUCUUCUCAGUAACGUAGCUAACGCGUGAAGUUGACCGCCUGGGG
rnacentral:rRNA from 1 species